GACGAACGCUGGCGGCGUGCUUAACACAUGCAAGUCGAACGGUAAGGCCCCAGCUUGCUGGGGUACACGAGUGGCGAACGGGUGAGUAACACGUGGGUGACCUGCCCCGCACUUCGGGAUAAGCCUGGGAAACUGGGUCUAAUACCGGAUAGGACCGCACCGUGAGGGUGUGGUGGAAAGUUUUUCGGUGUGGGAUGGGCCCGCGGCCUAUCAGCUUGUUGGUGGGGUAAUGGCCUACCAAGGCGGCGACGGGUAGCCGGCCUGAGAGGGUGGACGGCCAAAUUGGGACUGAGGCACGGCCCAGACUCCUACGGGGGGCAGCAGGGGGGAAUAUUGCACAAUGGGCGGAAGCCUGAUGCAGCGACGCCGCGGGGGGGAUGACGGCCUUCGGGUUGUAAACUCCUUUCCCCAUCGACGAAGGUUUUCUGGCGGUAGAUGGAGAAGAAGCCCCGGCUAACUACGU
rnacentral:rRNA from 1 species